AAGGAUUGACACUUAUCUCGAACGGCUGUUCCACACCACCUCGUUCUCAUUUUCAGCAGGCUGCAAGGAAUCUUUCCGGCGCCGUAACUCGUCGUCAUUCUGCUCCAUAGAUUCGCCGUUGGCGUUCAAGAAAACUACCACCCACACUGUCGGACCUUGCUAAUACCACUUUCAAAAACGAAGCAGGUGAAGAUCGUUUUAAGCCAACAUCCGGCCUCAUCAACGGCUUACGUAAAUUAAAGUCGCCCGUCCUAUGCUUUCCAAAGAGUAACGGGUGGUACAAGAUGAAAAGAAACACGACACAAUGCAAAUGAAAGAUGUGAAAAGAAUCCCGCAGAUGGACGCAAUGCUGGUGGAGAGUGAUGUGAGUUAGUUAGGAAGGCGAUUACUAUCAGCAUCAUAGUCCAAUGGACACAGCGUUCGCUCGUUGGUCGUACGUCCACGGUCGUGGUGAAGACUGGUAGGUGGUGGGCUGGAACCCCAGCACCGGUUGCGCUGUCUCAGGCUUCUCCUGUCGGCAGACUCUCCAGGCGGAUGCUGGCACAACUCCCCUUGAAGUCGGCCCAGGACGCACACUGACCUUCCGCCUGCUGCCUUCGCUUCUUCUCUCCAUCUACCCCUCACGUCUGUACGCUGAUCAUACAGCAACAGUUGCUUCGCGGUUGUAAAAUGAAUUUCGAAAAUGGCGAUUCAAUAUGAGUAGCUACAGAGAACGAAAAUGGGCCGAGAGCAAAAUAACACGAAGAGAAUAAUAAUAAAAUCAUAAAAUACACAUAAUAUACCAAUAAAAAUAAUACGAUAUAACAAUAAAAUGUAACAAAUAAAGAAAACAAUAAGAGAACAAGAAUUUAGGCGAAUAGCCAUUUAUUUGUGUUCGUGGAAGCGCAUUUCUGUCCAUUGCCCCCCCGCCACGGGUGACCUGCUUUGGUCGCAGGAGGCAUGCUGCCAGUUGGCACGUGGGCCUGCAAGGCGUGCCUCCUAUACAGUACUGACGUUACUUCAUUGAGAUCUCUGACAUGAGGCACAAAUUUAUCGCGGAGCAAAUUCGCCAUCGGAGGCCUGCCAACAAUUCCGGGUCUGCUUGCGUAAAAGGCCGAUCUUCGAGCCAGAGUUGUGUGUGAUAAACGACCGCUAUUUGGCGCAGGAUGAGUAAUCACCAAUGGGACGAGUAAAUCAUACCUAACUGUACGCACACCUGCCUGCUCUAUCAUAAUCACUUUGGACAAGCUUUUUUGGGAAUCUAAUAUAUUUGGAAAUCGAAACGGGACAUUCCUUCUGCAACUGAAAUAAACGCCUGAUGGCGAAUGGCAGCAAGAAUACAAGGACAAAUGUAGAAGUAGACAGGACACCUGCAGACUCUCAACUGAGGUUUAAUCAUCAUGAACCUAUACCAACUACCCCGGAUUGUUCCUAUUGUGCAAUAAACGCCUGUAACCGUGA